rnacentral:rRNA from 1 species
UGCGUAGGUGGGUAAGUAAGUCCGUGGUGAAAUCUCUGAGCUUAACUCAGAAACUGCCAUGGAUACUAUUUGUCUUGAAUAUUGUGGAGGUGAGCGGAAUAUGUCAUGUAGCGGUGAAAUGCUUAGAUAUGACAUAGAACACCAAUUGCGAAGGCAGCUCACUACACAGUAAUUGACGCUGAGGCACGAAAGCGUGGGGAUCAAACA